AUACGGAGGAUCCGAGCGUUAUCCGGAUUUAUUGGGUUUAAAGGGUGCGCAGGCGGGAGAUUAAGUCGGCGGUGAAAUUUUUUAGUUCAAAUGUAAAAAUGCCUUUGAAAAUGGUUUCCUUUAGUGUAUAUGUAUUUGGCGGAAUUUGUGGAUUAUCGGUUCAAUGCAUAGAUAUCACGAGGAACUCCGAUUGCGCAGGCAGCUUACUAAACUACUACUGACGCUCAGGCACGAAGGCGUGGGGAUCAAACAGGAUUAGAUACCCUGGUAGUCCACGCAGUAAACGAUGAUUACUAGCUGUUUGCGAUACAAUGUAAGCGGCUGAGCGAAAGCGUUAAGUAAUCCACCUGGGGAGUACGUUCGCAAGAAUGAAACUCAAAGGAAUUGACGGGG
rnacentral:rRNA from 1 species